UGUUUUUGUUUCUAUUUUCUUCUUCUGUCUUAAAAAGUUGAUGGUCGAUGCAUUUUUGAAAAUUAGAGAAAUGAAGCAUGUGUUUAAUUACUGCACUAAGUGCUUCAGUUGAAGUGAACAGACUUGAAGAUUUUGGCCUUCACCCAUGCCUUGGUUUCCUCAUCUGCAAAAUAAACAGAUUUAUACUUCUUCUGAAACAGAGAUAGUUAAAAUAUUUUAUGUUGUCAAGUGUUAGAUAUGCUCAUAAGGAUGAUGCAGGAUGAGUAAAGUAUUUAAUAUCUUUUAUUGCAAGCACAAAAUAAAUAUUUUUCAACUGUAUUAUUAUUAUACCUGUUGCAUAAAUCCUUUAAGUAAUAAAGCCAGAUGGCAUUAUUCUGCUUUACUGUGGCUACUGUGCUUUAAUGCCUUUAAUAGGAUAGCAUAAUGGCAGCAUUACUAUUGCUCCAUACUACCAUAUGAACUCAUUCCAUCACUUUAAGAUGCUCUUUGAGUAACUGCUCUGUCCUAUUUCCUCUUCUUAACCUCCAUAUCUUUAUUUUGUACUGACCCUGUAAUCUGUCAAAGUGAUUGCUACUGGAGAUGUAUUGCAAACUGGAGUAAUAGUCUGCUGAAUGCUGUAUAUUACUUAUACAUUUGUAUAUAUAUUGAAAACUGUAUAACUAUAUAUACUUACAUACUCAUGUAUACACAUCCUGGCAGUGAUUAAUUUCAAUUCUUAUUCUGUGCAUUAGACAUACAUGCAAUAAAAUAAUAUAUUAUAUAUAUAUAUAAUAAUAUAAAAUAAUAACAGCAACCCAGGAAAAUAGUAUAUAAUUAAUUAGGGAAAGCACCAUGUAAUCUGCAACCCAUAAAAACUUCCUCUGUAAGCCUCCCACAGUAACCUUUACAUUCAAAAACAAGCAUUUGUGCUACUGCAUUAAGAGACCAGGCUGGUGGCAGUACAGGAUGGUGGUAUUCAGAUUUGAAAUUCUUGACUGGUGAAUCAGCUCCUACUAAUUUGUAUAUAAAAAGAUAGAAAUGGCGCUUGCAGUUAGUAUCUUGUUAGAGAAAAAAUCUUGCAUUAUUCUUCAGUUACUUCUUUC
rnacentral:lncRNA from 1 species